AACGAACGCUGGCGGCAGGCCUAACACAUGCAAGUCGAACGCUCGUAGCAAUACGAGAGUGGCAGACGGGUGAGUAACACGUGGGAACCUUCCCUAUGGUUCGGAAUAGCUCAGGGAAACUUGGGGUAAUACCGGAUAAGCCCUUCGGGGAAGGAUUUAUCGCCAUUGGAUGGGCCCGCGUCGGAUUAGCUAGUUGGUGAGGUAACGGCUCACCAAGGCAACGAUCCGUAGCUGGUCUGAGAGGAUGAUCAGCCACACUGGGACUGAGACACGGCCCAGACUCCUACGGGAGGCAGCAGUGGGGAAGUAUUGGACAAUGGGCGCAAGCCUGAUCCAGCCAUGCCGCGUGAGUGACGAAGGUCUUCGGAUUGUAAAACUCUUUUGGUCGGGGACGAUAAUGACGGUA
rnacentral:rRNA from 1 species